rnacentral:rRNA from 1 species
AGACUGGGAUAACUUCGGGAAACCGUAGCUAAUACCGGAUAAUAUUUUGAACCGCAUGGUUCAAAAGUGAAAGUCGGUCUUGCUGUCACUUAUAGAUGGAUCCGCGCUGCAUUAGCUAGUGGGUAAGGUAACGGCUUACCAAGGCAACGAUGCAUAGCCGACCUGAGAGGGUGAUCGGCCACACUGGAACUGAGACACGGUCCAGACUCCUACGGGAGGCAGCAGUAGGGAAUCUUCCGCAAUGGGCGAAAGCCUGACGGAGCAACGCCGCGUGAGUGAUGAAGGUCUUCGGAUCGUAAAACUCUGUUAUUAGGGAAGAACAUAUGUGUAAGUAACUGUGCACAUCUUGACGGUACCUAAUCAGAAAGCCACGGCUAACUACGUGCCAGCAGCCGCGGUAAUACGUAGGUGGCAAGCGUUAUCCGGAAUUAUUGGGCGUAAAGCGCGCGUAGGCGGUUUUUUAAGUCUGAUGUGAAAGCCCACGGCUCAACCGUGGAGGGUCAUUGGAAACUGGAAAACUUGAGUGCAGAAGAGGAAAGUGGAAUUCCAUGUGUAGCGGUGAAAUGCGCAGAGAUAUGGAGGAACACCAGUGGCGAAGGCGACUUUCUGGUCUGUAACUGACGCUGAUGUGCGAAAGCGUGGGGAUCAAACAGGAUUAGAUACCCUGGUAGUCCACGCCGUAAACGAUGAGUGCUAAGUGUUAGGGGGUUUCCGCCCCUUAGUGCUGCAGCUAACGCAUUAAGCACUCCGCCUGGGGAGUACGACCGCAAGGUUGAAACUCAAAGGAAUUGACGGGGACCCGCACAAGCGGUGGAGCAUGUGGUUUAAUUCGAAGCAACGCGAAGAACCUUACCAAAUCUUGACAUCCUUUGACAACUCUAGAGAUAGAGCCUUCCCCUUCGGGGGACAAAGUGACAGGUGGUGCAUGGUUGUCGUCAGCUCGUGUCGUGAGAUGUUGGGUUAAGUCCCGCAACGAGCGCAACCCUUAAGCUUAGUUGCCAUCAUUAAGUUGGGCACUCUAAGUUGACUGCCGGUGACAAACCGGAGGAAGGUGGGGAUGACGUCAAAUCAUCAUGCCCCUUAUGAUUUGGGCUACACACGUGCUACAAUGGACAAUACAAAGGGCAGCGAAACCGCGAGGUCAAGCAAAUCCCAUAAAGUUGUUCUCAGUUCGGAUUGUAGUCUGCAACUCGACUACAUGAAGCUGGAAUCGCUAGUAAUCGUAGAUCAGCAUGCUACGGUGAAUACGUUCCCGGGUCUUGUACACACCGCCCGUCACACCACGAGAGUUUGUAACACCCGAAGCCGGUGGAGUAACCUUUUAGGAGCUAGCCGUCGAAGGUGGGACAAAUGAUUGGGGUGAAGUCGUAACAAGGUAGCCGUAUCGGAAGGUGCGGCUG